GGAGAGGUGGCAGAGCGGUUGAAUGCGCCGGUCUCGAAAACCGGUAUGGGCUAUCAGUCCAUCGGGGGUUCGAAUCCCCCCCUCUCCGCCA
rnacentral:tRNA from 1 species